rnacentral:rRNA from 1 species
AUUGAACGCUGGCGGCAGGCCUAACACAUGCAAGUCGAGCGGAUGAAGGGAGCUUGCUCCUGGAUUCAGCGGCGGACGGGUGAGUAAUGCCUAGGAAUCUGCCUGGUAGUGGGGGAUAACGUCCGGAAACGGGCGCUCAUACCGCAUACGUCCUGAGGGAGAAAGUGGGGGAUCUUCGGACCUCACGCUAUCAGAUGAGCCUAGGUCGGAUUAGCUAGUUGGUGGGGUAAAGGCCUACCAAGGCGACGAUCCGUAACUGGUCUGAGAGGAUGAUCAGUCACACUGGAACUGAGACACGGUCCAGACUCCUACGGGAGGCAGCAGUGGGGAAUAUUGGACAAUGGGCGAAAGCCUGAUCCAGCCAUGCCGCGUGUGUGAAGAAGGUCUUCGGAUUGUAAAGCACUUUAAGUUGGGAGGAAGGGCAGUAAGUUAAUACCUUGCUGUUUUGACGUUACCAACAGAAUAAGCACCGGCUAACUUCGU